rnacentral:rRNA from 1 species
CCCUUAGAUGUUCUGGGCCGCACGCGCGCUACACUGAUGCAUUCAACGAGUUUCUUCCUGGUCCGAGAGGAAUGGGUAACCUUUUGAAAGUGCAUCGUGAUAGGGAUAGACUAUUGCAAUUAUUGGUCUUCAACGAGGAAUUCCUAGUAGACGUAGUUCAUCAGACUGCAUCGAUUACGUCCCUGCCCUUUGUACACCCCGCCCGUCGCUCCUACCGAUUGAAUGCUCAGGUGAGCCAUUCGGACUUUCAUCAUGCUGGUUUCCAGUUUUGAUGAAGGAAAGUCUUGCGAACCUUAUCAUUUAGAGGAAGGAGAAGUCGUAACA